UUAAGCGACUAAGCGUACACGGUGGAUGCCCUGGCAGUCAGAGGCGAUGAAGGACGUGCUAAUCUGCGAUAAGCGUCGGUAAGGUGAUAUGAACCGUUAUACCCGACGAUUUCCGAAUGGGGAAACCCAGUGUGUUUCGACACACUAUCAUUACGUGAAUACAUAGCGUAAUGAAGCGAACCGGGGGAACUGAAACAUCUAAGUACCCCGAGGAAAAGAAAUCAACCGAGAUUCCCCCAGUAGCGGCGAGCGAACGGGGAACAGCCCAGAGUCUGAAUCAGCGUGUGUGUUAGUGGAAGCGUCUGGAAAGUCGCACGAUACAGGGUGAAAGUCCCGUACACAAAAAUGCACACGCUGUGAACUCGAAGAGUAGGGCGGGACACGUGGUAUCCUGUCUGAAUAUGGGGGGACCAUCCUCCAAGGCUAAAUACUCCUGACUGACCGAUAGUGAACCAGUACCGUGAGGGAAAGGCGAAAAGAACCCCGGCGAGGGGAGUGAAACAGAACCUGAAACCGUGUACGUACAAGCAGUGGGAGCCUACUAGUUGGGUGACUGCGUACCUUUUGUAUAAUGGGUCAGCGACUUAUAUUCUGUAGCAAGGUUAACCGUAUAGGGGAGCCGAAGGGAAACCGAGUCUUAACUGGGCGUUAAGUUGCAGGGUAUAGACCCGAAACCCGGUGAUCUAGCCAUGGGCAGGUUGAAGGUUGGGUAACACUAACUGGAGGACCGAACCGACUAAUGUUGAAAAAUUAGCGGAUGACCUGUGGCUGGGGGUGAAAGGCCAAUCAAACCGGGAGAUAGCUGGUUCUCCCCGAAAGCUAUUUAGGUAGCGCCUCGUGAACUCAUCUUCGGGGGUAGAGCACUGUUUCGGCUAGGGGGCCAUCCCGGCUUACCAACCCGAUGCAAACUGCGAAUACCGAAGAAUGUUAUCACGGGAGACACACGGCGGGUGCUAACGUCCGUCGUGAAGAGGGAAACAACCCAGACCGCCAGCUAAGGUCCCAAAGUCAUGGUUAAGUGGGAAACGAUGUGGGAAGGCACAGACAGCCAGGAUGUUGGCUUAGAAGCAGCCAUCAUUUAAAGAAAGCGUAAUAGCUCACUGGUCGAGUCGGCCUGCGCGGAAGAUGUAACGGGGCUAAACCAUGCACCGAAGCUGCGGCAGCGACGCUUAUGCGUUGUUGGGUAGGGGAGCGUUCUGUAAGCCGUUGAAGGUGUGCUGUGAGGCAUGCUGGAGGUAUCAGAAGUGCGAAUGCUGACAUAAGUAACGAUAAAGCGGGUGAAAAACCCGCUCGCCGGAAGACCAAGGGUUCCUGUCCAACGUUAAUCGGGGCAGGGUGAGUCGACCCCUAAGGCGAGGCCGAAAGGCGUAGUCGAUGGGAAACAGGUUAAUAUUCCUGUACUUGGUGUUACUGCGAAGGGGGGACGGAGAAGGCUAUGUUGGCCGGGCGACGGUUGUCCCGGUUUAAGCAUGUAGGCGGAACAAUUAGGUAAAUCCGGUUGUUUAUUAACGCUGAGGUGUGAUGACGAGGCACUACGGUGCUGAAGCAACAAAUGCCCUGCUUCCAGGAAAAGCCUCUAAGCAUCAGGUAACACGAAAUCGUACCCCAAACCGACACAGGUGGUCAGGUAGAGAAUACCAAGGCGCUUGAGAGAACUCGGGUGAAGGAACUAGGCAAAAUGGUGCCGUAACUUCGGGAGAAGGCACGCUGGUGCGUAGGUGAAGUGACUUGCUCACGGAGCUGAAACCAGUCGAAGAUACCAGCUGGCUGCAACUGUUUAUUAAAAACACAGCACUGUGCAAACACGAAAGUGGACGUAUACGGUGUGACGCCUGCCCGGUGCCGGAAGGUUAAUUGAUGGGGUUAUCCGUAAGGAGAAGCUCUUGAUCGAAGCCCCGGUAAACGGCGGCCGUAACUAUAACGGUCCUAAGGUAGCGAAAUUCCUUGUCGGGUAAGUUCCGACCUGCACGAAUGGCGUAAUGAUGGCCAGGCUGUCUCCACCCGAGACUCAGUGAAAUUGAAAUCGCUGUGAAGAUGCAGUGUACCCGCGGCAAGACGGAAAGACCCCGUGAACCUUUACUAUAGCUUGACACUGAACAUUGAGCCUUGAUGUGUAGGAUAGGUGGGAGGCUUUGAAGCGUGGACGCCAGUCUGCGUGGAGCCAACCUUGAAAUACCACCCUUUAAUGUUUGAUGUUCUAACGUGGACCCGUGAUCCGGGUUGCGGACAGUGUCUGGUGGGUAGUUUGACUGGGGCGGUCUCCUCCUAAAGCGUAACGGAGGAGCACGAAGGUCAGCUAAUCCUGGUCGGACAUCAGGAGGUUAGUGCAAUGGCAUAAGCUGGCUUGACUGCGAGCGUGACGGCGCGAGCAGGUGCGAAAGCAGGUCAUAGUGAUCCGGUGGUUCUGAAUGGAAGGGCCAUCGCUCAACGGAUAAAAGGUACUCCGGGGAUAACAGGCUGAUACCGCCCAAGAGUUCAUAUCGACGGCGGUGUUUGGCACCUCGAUGUCGGCUCAUCACAUCCUGGGGCUGAAGUAGGUCCCAAGGGUAUGGCUGUUCGCCAUUUAAAGUGGUACGCGAGCUGGGUUUAGAACGUCGUGAGACAGUUCGGUCCCUAUCUGCCGUGGGCGCUGGAGAACUGAGGGGGGCUGCUCCUAGUACGAGAGGACCGGAGUGGACGCAUCACUGGUGUUCGGGUUGUCAUGCCAAUGGCACUGCCCGGUAGCUAAAUGCGGAAGAGAUAAGUGCUGAAAGCAUCUAAGCACGAAACUUGCCCCGAGAUGAGUUCUCCCUGAGACUUUAAGUCUCCUGAAGGAACGUUGAAGACGACGACGUUGAUAGGCCGGGUGUGUAAGCGCAGCGAUGCGUUGAGCUAACCGGUACUAAUGAACCGUGAGGCUUAACCUU
rnacentral:rRNA from 1 species